rnacentral:rRNA from 1 species
GUGAGGAAUAUUGCGCAAUGGAGGCAACUCUGACGCAGCCAUGCCGCGUGCAGGAAGAAGGCGCUACGCGUUGUAAACUGCUUUUAACCGGGAAGAAACCCCAGGACGUGUCCUGGGUUGACGGUACCGGAGGAAUAAGCACCGGCUAACUUCGUGCCAGCAGCCGCGGUAAUACGAAGGGUGCAAGCGUUAUCCGGAUCCAUUGGGUUUAACGGGUGCGUAGGCGGAGCGUUAAGUCAGUGGUGAAAUCCUGCAGCUUAACUGUAGACUUGCCAUGGAUACUGGCGCUCUUGAGUGCGCAUGAAGUGGGCGGAAUGUGCCGUGUAGCGGUGAAAUGCUUAGAUAUGGCACAGAACACCAAUUGCGAAGGCAGCUCACUAAGGCGAUACUGACGCUGAGGCACGAAAGCGUGGGGAUCGAACAGGAUUAGAAACCCCGGUAGUCC